rnacentral:rRNA from 1 species
UGACGGAGCACGCCGCGUGAGUGAUGACGGCCUUCGGGUUGUAAAGCUCUGUUAAUCGGGACGAAAGGCCUUCUUGCGAAUAGUGAGAAGGAUUGACGGUACCGGAAUAGAAAGCCACGGCUAACUACGUGCCAGCAGCCGCGGUAAUACGUAGGUGGCAAGCGUUGUCCGGAAUUAUUGGGCGUAAAGCGCGCGCAGGCGGAUAGGUCAGUCUGUCUUAAAAGUUCGGGGCUUAACCCCGUGAUGGGAUGGAAACUGCCAAUCUAGAGUAUCGGAGAGGAAAGUGGAAUUCCUAGUGUAGCGGUGAAAUGCGUAGAUAUUAGGAAGAACACCAGUGGCGAAGGCGACUUUCUGGACGAAAACUGACGCUGAGGCGCGAAAGCCAGGGGAGCGAACGGGAUUAGAUACCCCGGUAGUCCUGGCCGUAAACGAUGGGUACUAGGUGUAGGAGGUAUCGACCCCUUCUGUGCCGGAGUUAACGCAAUAAGUACCCCGCCUGGGGAGUACGACCGCCAAGGUUGAAACUCAAAGGAAUUGACGGGGGCCCGCACAAGCGGUGGAGUAUGUGGUU